rnacentral:rRNA from 1 species
UACGGAGGGUGCAAACGUUUGCUCGGAAUCAUUGGGCGUAAAGCGCACGUAGGCGGCUUGUUAAGUCGGAUGUGAAAUCCCUCGGCUCAACCGAGGAAGUGCAUUCGAAACUGGCAGGCUUGAAUAUGGAAGAGGGUCGCGGAAUUCCCGGUGUAGAGGUGAAAUUCGUAGAUAUCGGGAGGAACACCAGUGCGAAGGCGGCGACCUGGGCCAAUAUUGGACGCUGAGGUGCGAAAGCGUGGGAGCAAACAGG